rnacentral:piRNA from 1 species
AAUGUAUAGCUAGGAAUAAUCCUGU